rnacentral:tRNA from 1 species
GGCUGAAACGAAUUUGCGUUUGCUUUCAAAGCGUCUCGGCGGAUUGCAAAUCCGUGUACAGGAGUUCGAUUCUCCUACUCGCCUCCA